rnacentral:lncRNA from 1 species
GGGAACGCGGGUGAGGAGGCGGCUGCCAUCUGCUCUACACGCUGGCCGGGUGCAGCUGGCCGGCCCCCAGGGUCUGGCCACGAGGAAAGCACGAGGAAGCCCUUCCAGAAGGAGCAGAAACAGAUGUACCUAACAAGAGCUGCCUCACGAGCCUUCCAAGCAUCACAUCCCACCUUGCUGUUGGGUCGAUGGGAGUUUUGAGGUAGGAGAGAGACGUGCCGGCGCCUCGCCGGCUGUGUGACACGGGAUGAAUGAAUGAAUGCUG